AUUGAACGCUGGCGGCAGGCCUAACACAUGCAAGUCGAGCGGAUGAAGGGAGCUUGCUCCUGGAUUCAGCGGCGGACGGGUGAGUAAUGCCUAGGAAUCUGCCUGGUAGUGGGGGAUAACGUCCGGAAACGGGCGCUAAUACCGCAUACGUCCUGAGGGAGAAAGUGGGGGAUCUUCGGACCUCACGCUAUCAGAUGAGCCUAGGUCGGAUUAGCUAGUUGGUGGGGUAAAGGCCUACCAAGGCGACGAUCCGUAACUGGUCUGAGAGGAUGAGCAGUCACACUGGAACUGAGACACGGUCCAGACUCCUACGGGAGGCAGCAGUGGGGAAUUUUGGACAAUGGGCGAAUGCCUGAUCCAGCCAUGCCGCGUGUGUGAAGAAGGUCUUCGGAUUGUAAAGCACUUUAAGUUGGGAGGAAGGGCAGUAAGUUAAUACCUUGCUGUUUUGACGGUACCAACAGAAUAAGCACCGGCUAACUUCGUG
rnacentral:rRNA from 1 species